AAUGGAGCUGCUGCUGAGCCCCAGGUCUGAACCACCCUGGUUCUCUUGGCAGCACUACUGCAUCAUCCACAGUCUGCUGAGGAGAAAGCAAUUCUGCUUGGCGCUGACAUAUCUAUACUGGAUCAGACCAGCCACAGACAGCCCCUACAACCUCAAGCUCUCUGUCGAUGUACUCCUACAGAACAGCCAUAUCUCAGAUGCCUGGUUCCUCCUAAAGAAAGGCCACACAGGAAGUGAUGACAUGUCAGGUACUUCCUCAAUGGAUGUGAGAGGCUUGGUCUAUGUGUGGAGGCUUCAGACUGCAUGGAAGCAGUAUGGAAGGAUGUAGGCCAUUGUACUAAUCAGUCGGAAGAGACUGAGAGUCAGUGUGGAAUAGAGGGGCUUCCUCAGCGUUGGUGGACCACAGGGAUCCCUAUGGCAGUGAAAGAGCCAGGGGUUCCUAUUCGUCCGUUCUCUGCCCUGCAGUAUCAGUCUCAGAAUAGCAACACUCUCUCUCCAGAGGAUUGGAUCAGACUCCUCAGGGAAUCUAUGAUUGAACUCAGACAACUCCAGCCAACAUUGAGGUACAGUCAAUAACUGCACAUUAUGCCUUGAAUCUAUUCUAUCGCGCCCAGAAA